GCAGUUUGUCAUGUUUUAUGAAUGAUCCUCUCAGAUCUUGAAGAAGUUAUCUCCUCCGUGCCACAGCAGUCAGAAUGUGGAUCUGUAAGCAACAUGACAUUGGCGCUUCCCAGCACAUGUCCAUCCCGUCUGGCUCUCUCAUACUGAACAGUGAUUAUAGCAGCUGUUUUUGCUUUCAUCUGUGGACAAAUUGCUCACAAUUAAUCUUGGCAUAAAUCAGGAUUUUGGCAGCAGUGUUGGUGAGCAUAGUGACAUGAAAUUUUGUCAACAACAAGGGAAAUAAAUAGUAUUUUCUCUGGGCAGGAAGUGCUACAACUUUGUAAAUAUUUGUGACUGUUUGGUUGUUUUUGCUUUGUCACCUUUAAUGAUGCUGUUGAAGUUGCUGUAUUGAAGUCAUUUUUACCAGCAUUUUAUUAUAAUCAAUCUUUUUGGUAUUAUGAUAAUUGUAUAGAAGGAUGGCAUGUAAUUUGAUUUCAUCCUCUCAAUGUGAUGAUGGCCUAUUAAACAAAUCCCAGUUGUAAACAGAUAAAUACUCUGCCAUAAUUUCAGUGGGCUCGCAGAAUGACAGGAUAAUUAUCGAUCCAGAGUAACAGCUUAUCAUUCAUUUGUGCUGCAUCUCAGUACAUCAAAGGUACUCUCCCUAUUAGAAAUGUCAGUCAUAAUGCCAACACUUGACGUUUCCAAUGAUGUUUAUGUUGUAAUUCUCUGAGAAGUCAAAUUUAGUGAUUCUUAAUAUACAUUUAAAUUGAUUAAUCUUGAUCAAACUUUAAAUAUUUCACUUACUUUCGAAAAUCCAGUGUU